rnacentral:rRNA from 1 species
CAAGUCGUACGCUUCUUUUUCCACCGGAGCUUGCUCCACCGGAAAAAGAAGAGUGGCGAACGGGUGAGUAACACGUGGGUAACCUGCCCAUCAGAAGGGGAUAACACUUGGAAACAGGUGCUAAUACCGUAUAACAAUCGAAACCGCAUGGUUUUGAUUUGAAAGGCGCUUUCGGGUGUCGCUGAUGGAUGGACCCGCGGUGCAUUAGCUAGUUGGUGAGGUAACGGCUCACCAAGGCCACGAUGCAUAGCCGACCUGAGAGGGUGAUCGGCCACAUUGGGACUGAGACACGGCCCAAACUCCUACGGGAGGCAGCAGUAGGGAAUCUUCGGCAAUGGACGAAAGUCUGACCGAGCAACGCCGCGUGAGUGAAGAAGGUUUUCGGAUCGUAAAACUCUGUUGUUAGAGAAGAACAAGGAUGAGAGUAACUGUUCAUCCCUUGACGGUAUCUAACCAGAAAGCCACGGCUAACUACGUGCCAGCAGCCGCGGUAAUACGUAGGUGGCAAGCGUUGUCCGGAUUUAUUGGGCGUAAAGCGAGCGCAGGCGGUUUCUUAAGUCUGAUGUGAAAGCCCCCGGCUCAACCGGGGAGGGUCAUUGGAAACUGGGAGACUUGAGUGCAGAAGAGGAGAGUGGAAUUCCAUGUGUAGCGGUGAAAUGCGUAGAUAUAUGGAGGAACACCAGUGGCGAAGGCGGCUCUCUGGUCUGUAACUGACGCUGAGGCUCGAAAGCGUGGGGAGCAAACAGGAUUAGAUACCCUGGUAGUCCACGCCGUAAACGAUGAGUGCUAAGUGUUGGAGGGUUUCCGCCCUUCAGUGCUGCAGCUAACGCAUUAAGCACUCCGCCUGGGGAGUACGACCGCAAGGUUGAAACUCAAAGGAAUUGACGGGGGCCCGCACAAGCGGUGGAGCAUGUGGUUUAAUUCGAAGCAACGCGAAGAACCUUACCAGGUCUUGACAUCCUUUGACCACUCUAGAGAUAGAGCUUCCCCUUCGGGGGCAAAGUGACAGGUGGUGCAUGGUUGUCGUCAGCUCGUGUCGUGAGAUGUUGGGUUAAGUCCCGCAACGAGCGCAACCCUUAUUGUUAGUUGCCAUCAUUUAGUUGGGCACUCUAGCAAGACUGCCGGUGACAAACCGGAGGAAGGUGGGGAUGACGUCAAAUCAUCAUGCCCCUUAUGACCUGGGCUACACACGUGCUACAAUGGGAAGUACAACGAGUCGCGAAGUCGCGAGGCUAAGCUAAUCUCUUAAAGCUUCUCUCAGUUCGGAUUGUAGGCUGCAACUCGCCUACAUGAAGCCGGAAUCGCUAGUAAUCGCGGAUCAGCACGCCGCGGUGAAUACGUUCCCGGGCCUUGUACACACCGCCCGUCACACCACGAGAGUUUGUAACACCCGAAGUCGGUGAGGUAACCUUUGGAGCCAGC